AACGAACGCUGGCGGCAUGCCUAACACAUGCAAGUCGAACGAGACCUUCGGGUCUAGUGGCGCACGGGUGCGUAACGCGUGGGAACCUGCCUUUAGGUUCGGAAUAACUCAGAGAAAUUUGAGCUAAUACCGGAUAAUGUCUUCGGACCAAAGAUUUAUCGCCUUUAGAUGGGCCCGCGUAAGAUUAGCUAGUUGGUGGGGUAAAGGCCUACCAAGGCGACGAUCUUUAGCUGGUCUGAGAGGAUGAUCAGCCACACUGGGACUGAGACACGGCCCAGACUCCUACGGGAGGCAGCAGUGGGGAAUAUUGGACAAUGGGCGAAAGCCUGAUCCAGCAAUGCCGCGUGAGUGAUGAAGGCCUUAGGGUUGUAAAAGCUCUUUUACCCGAGAUGAUAAUGACAGUAUCGGGAGAAUAAGACUCCGGCUAACUCCGUGCCAGCAGCCGCGGAAU
rnacentral:rRNA from 1 species